rnacentral:rRNA from 1 species
GAUGAACGCUGGCGGCGUGCCUAAUACAUGCAAGUCGAGCGAACGGACGAGAAGCUUGCUUCUCUGAUGUUAGCGGCGGACGGGUGAGUAACACGUGGAUAACCUACCUAUAAGACUGGGAUAACUUCGGGAAACCGGAGCUAAUACCGGAUAAUAUUUUGAACCGCAUGGUUCAAAAGUGAAAGACGGUCUUGCUGUCACUUAUAGAUGGAUCCGCGCUGCAUUAGCUAGUUGGUAAGGUAACGGCUUACCAAGGCAACGAUGCAUAGCCGACCUGAGAGGGUGAUCGGCCACACUGGAACUGAGACACGGUCCAGACUCCUACGGGAGGCAGCAGUAGGGAAUCUUCCGCAAUGGGCGAAAGCCUGACGGAGCAACGCCGCGUGAGUGAUGAAGGUCUUCGGAUCGUAAAACUCUGUUAUUAGGGAAGAACAUAUGUGUAAGUAACUGUGCACAUCUUGACGGUACCUAAUCAGAAAGCCACGGCUAACUACGUGCCAGCAGCCGCGGUAAUACGUAGGUGGCAAGCGUUAUCCGGAAUUAUUGGGCGUAAAGCGCGCGUAGGCGGUUUUUUAAGUCUGAUGUGAAAGCCCACGGCUCAACCGUGGAGGGUCAUUGGAAACUGGAAAACUUGAGUGCAGAAGAGGAAAGUGGAAUUCCAUGUGUAGCGGUGAAAUGCGCAGAGAUAUGGAGGAACACCAGUGGCGAAGGCGACUUUCUGGUCUGUAACUGACGCUGAUGUGCGAAAGCGUGGGGAUCAAACAGGAUUAGAUACCCUGGUAGUCCACGCCGUAAACGAUGAGUGCUAAGUGUUAGGGGGUUUCCGCCCCUUAGUGCUGCAGCUAACGCAUUAAGCACUCCGCCUGGGGAGUACGACCGCAAGGUUGAAACUCAAAGGAAUUGACGGGGACCCGCACAAGCGGUGGAGCAUGUGGUUUAAUUCGAAGCAACGCGAAGAACCUUACCAAAUCUUGACAUCCUUUGACAACUCUAGAGAUAGAGCUUUCCCCUUCGGGGGACAAAGUGACAGGUGGUGCAUGGUUGUCGUCAGCUCGUGUCGUGAGAUGUUGGGUUAAGUCCCGCGACGAGCGCAACCCUUAAGCUUAGUUGCCAUCAUUAAGUUGGGCACUCUAAGUUGACUGCCGGUGACAAACCGGAGGAAGGUGGGGAUGACGUCAAAUCAUCAUGCCCCUUAUGAUUUGGGCUACACACGUGCUACAAUGGACAAUACAAAGGGCAGCGAAACCGCGAGGUCAAGCAAAUCCCAUAAAGUUGUUCUCAGUUCGGAUUGUAGUCUGCAACUCGACUACAUGAAGCUGGAAUCGCUAGUAAUCGUAGAUCAGCAUGCUACGGUGAAUACGUUCCCGGGUCU